rnacentral:rRNA from 1 species
AUGGACCCCGCGACGGCGGCCAUGGGCUCCAUCCUCCCCAAGUUGUUCCAGCUCCUCCACGGAGAAUACAAGCUGCAGAAGGGCGUGAAGAAAGAUGUGGAAUUCCUCGAGAAGGAGAUGAGGAGCAUAGAUGCUGCCCUCCGCAAAGUGGCCAUGGUGCCGCGUGACCAGCUCCAUGACAACUCCAAGAUCUGGGCCGGUGAUGUCAGGGAGCUGGCAUACGAGAUGGAGGAUGUCGUUGAACGCUUCAUGGUGGACGUCCAAGACUUUGAGCCUGCUGCUAGCCAACACAGCUUCAAAGGGUUUGUGAAGAAGGUGUCCAACUUGAUCACGAAAGGCAAGACGCGCCACCAGAUCGCCGAUGCGAUUAAGAGCAUCAAGGACCAGCUCCAGGAUGUGGUGGACCGACGUGACCGGUACAAGAUUGACGAAGUUGAGGCAAGUCUGGCUGCUACAACCAUCAUUGACCCUCGGCUGAUGGCUCAGUUCAAAGAUCAGAGAGAGCUUGUUGGCAUCGAGGAGCCAAGAGAUGAGCUAAUCAGGAGGCUAGCGGAUGGAGAUGAUUGUGUGUCCAGGCAGCAGCUCAAGAUCCUCUCGAUCUUCGGAUUUGGAGGACUUGGCAAGACAACUCUUGCCAGAGCGGUUUACGACAAGAUACAUGUAGAAUUUGUAUUCAAGGCUUUUGUUUCGGUCGGUCAGAAGCCUAAUCUGAAGAAUGUUCUCAUAAGUAUUCUCCUCCGAAUUGACAAAGCCUCUUGUGACAAUGGUACACUGUUAUUAGAUGAGGUGCUGCUCAUCGAGAAACUCCGAGAACUGCUUACAGACAAGAGGUACCUCAUCAUCAUUGAUGAUAUAUGGGAUAUGAGUUCAUGGGAUAUAAUCAAAUGUGCUUUUAUUGAUAGUAACUGUGGAAGCAGAGUAAUCACAACUACUCGUAUCUUUGAAAUGGCGAACGAGGCAAGUGACAUUUACAAGCAAGAACCUCUUUCUCCUGAUAGGUCGAAGGAAUUGUUCUGUAUGAGAUUAUUUAUUGGCAAAAGCAAAAACCCAUAUCAUGAACCGGUUAAGAUAUCUGGGAAGAUAUUGCAGAAAUGUGGUGGCAUACCGCUAGCUAUCAUUACAAUAGCUAGCUUAUUGGCCAGUAAACCAGUAACAGAUUGGUCUAAGGUCUAUGACUCUACUGGUUUUGGGAAUGAAGAUAACAAGGAAGUGGAUACCACAAGAAAUAUAUUGCUAUAUAGCUACUAUGAUCUUCCAUAUUAUCCACGGCUUUGCCUAUUGCACCUAGGCAUAUACCCCGAAGAUUUUGAGAUCAAAAAGGACAAUUUAAUUUGGAAGUGGGUGGCUGAAGGAUAUGUGCAUGAGGAACCAGGAAAAGGAUUAUUUGAGAUUGGAGAGAGAUACUUCAACAUGCUCAUAGAUAGAAGCAUGAUCCAGGCAGUGGAGAAGCCAUAUCACAGCAUCAUAUAUGCUUGUCGUGUGCAUGAUUUGGUACUUGAUAUGAUUCAUUUUCUAUCAGAAGAUGAAAGUUUUGUUAUUGCAUCAAACAGUAACAGGACAUCUCCGUGUAUCACUGUUCGUAGGUUAGCCAUAAAUAAUGAAGUCGUAGAGCAGGAUGGAUCUGCGGCUAACUCGUGCAUGCAGCAAGUGAGGUCAUAUAAUGCCACCAUGUGUCAAUUUAGUAUGUUGCCAUUGCUUUCAAACUUUAAAGCUCUACGUGUGUUGGCUAUAGAAAAGUGCACUUUCAGGGGAGAUAAGGAAAUUCUUGUGAGGCCGGAAGCUUUUCCUAAUCAUCUUAAGGAUGUUGGGAAUUCACCUGAGGUACCUUGGUUUCUCAAGAGCGCCUAUUGUUGA